AGACCUCGAAAGAAUAGAAUGGUAUGGUUUAGAAAUAAAUUCAGAUUAUUAAAAUUGAAAACAUUCUUCUUAUAUCCUCCUCUCCCCCCUUGUGUAUUGCCUUCUUUGGUUUAAUUACUGACAGAUUAUUCUAUUUCUAGAAUGACUAGUUAUGAACUUCUAAAAAAAUCAAGUUUAGUUGAGGAUGUGAUUUGUUUUGUUUUGAUUUCCGUCUCUUUUGGCCUAUAUUUCGUUGUUUCUUGACAUCAUUAACUGUGAAUGACCCUUUUCUUCUUGUUGAACAUGAAUCAUCGGCGUUGAGCAAGAUCCCCGUAGUUAUUAUGUCAUCUGAGAAGAUUUUAGCUCGCAAUGAUAGAUGUUUGGAGGAAGGUGCUGCAGAAUUUCUCCUAAAGCCUGUUAAGCUGUCUGAUGUCAAACAUCUCUGAGAAUUCAUACUAAGAGGUGAGGGGGAUGACAACAAAGAAACAGAGAAGAAGAUUAAAGAAGUAUGUUCUAGAAAAUGAAAAUUUCAAGACGAUUCAAUGACACCACUGAUGCCAUCUUCUUUAGUUACAGGCCAUGAGCCCAUGACAAUAUAUACUCUAUCAUUGUGUCCAAUUCUCCACUUGUGUGCGCCAUAGUUUCAGGAAUUCAAAAUUCACCUUGAUGAAAAUCUUAGAUCCGCCGUAGUUGGCAGAUGUAUGAUCUUGAAGAAAAAAAUGUGUGCUUGGAAUCUCAUCUAAAGUCGAUUCAGUUGAUUGGUUUCAAAGGUGAAGAAAUUAAGAUAGAACUACUAAAGUUUUUUUGAAGAAUGCAUGGGUAUUGCAAAAAACUUACGAUUGUUUGGUCAAGUUAUGCUCAGAAAUCAGAAGAGACAUCAAAGAAGGUUUUGAAGACUCCUAGAACUUCUUCACAUGCUUUUCUGAGAUUUCACAAUGCCAACCUCAGACAAAGGUGAUUUUAAAAGCAUUGAAGAUCCACAGUUAUGAGCUAUUGACAACAAAAUGAGGCACAACUAAGAAAGUGCAACUAAAUUAAAUGAGUGCAAUGUGGCCGCUGAUGCGGUAGGCUGACGUACUAAAGCAGAGCACCAUAUGUACAACAUGGAGGGAACCCUUUAAGACAGAUCCACUGCUACUGGAAAAAAUAUUCAAAAAGGAAGGUCCUCCUUGGACAUUGAGUUCAGUUGUGCUAAAAGCUAAGAUGUUGUUGGAUGUGAAGUUGAGUUCAGAUUAUGCAGUCAGCUAGCUUAUCAUCUGGCCCACCUUACAAUAAAAUGACGACUAUCCUAUUUCUGAUUCAUUUGCUUCACUUCCUUCACAAGCCAAAAAUAGGUGAACUUAAAUAGAAUAGGGAUGGCGACUCUUAAAUCAAAUCUAUUGCGGUUCUUUCAUGAUUGUAAAAAUGGAUGCAUGUCUUAUGUAUUUUUUGUUUGGUCGUGAGCUGUAGGUAGAUGCCCCUUAUAUUUUGUACUUUGAAUGAAGUCAAUAAAAUUCUAUACCUAAUGCCAUUUUCUAA